AGGCCCAGUACUGUGGGAAACAGUCCACACUUUAUUACUUUAUUUAAACUUUCCUUAGCUAUUAUACUGGCAAAAGUUCCAAGGGGUUAAGCGACUCUCCCAAGGUCACGCAGCUAGGAGAGGUAGAAGCUGGAUCUGCACUCCACCAAACCGCCUCCUCUUCUUUUUUUUCCCCUCAGUGCAGGGGCAGAGAAGUGGGAGCGGCCAUUCGGAGAGGGCGCCCCUUUCCUGCCGCCCCUCUAACUAGCCUUCCCUCAGCAUCUGCCUCACUCUGGCGCUCAGGCAGCGGACACGCUCCACCUGGCGCCUCAGCUCCUGCCACGUUGCCCCACCCCGCGCGAAGCCGGGCAGCUAGCGUCAGACCAGAGUCACGUGCCGCUGCAUUUCCCGCCCAGGCAUGCGCACUGCUGCCGCAUCCCCUGUCAGGAUGAGGGGGCAGAGGUCGGCUCGGAUCCGUCUCUGCACUGCUCCAGGCUUAGCUGUUCCUCACUGGGCGGCGCCGGCGGUUGGUUGAUGCCUCUUCUGUCAGCUGAGCCCGCGGGAGCCCGUGACGCCGCUUUCCCGCCCAUCCCCGCUCCCCGAGGCCUGCCGCCUGGCCAUGGCGUGGCCUGGCCCGGCUCCCCAGCCUGACGCCCCUCCGUCUACCUGGAAUUGACCCCUUCUUGGCCCAGCUGACCCCUCCCAUCUGACAGCUCAGCUCAGCGCCUCUGGACAAGAAUUUAGGCUACAGAUAAUUCCUUGUGAGGAGGAUGUUAACUGCAGCUGUUUAUGGAGACAAAGAGUGGAGAAAUCCCAGAUGCCUAUAACAGGGUGCUCAUUAAGAACAGAUGAUAAACACACGAAGUGAAAUUCGUGCUGCCAUUAAAAAGGAUGAAGCAACUUUGCACGUACCGAUGUGGGCCGUCUCCAGGAUAAAGCAAGGUCAUGGCUCUGCCCUCUUGAAUGACGUAGAAGACUGAAGUUAAGUGGACACCAAUGAUUUCAGCUCUCAGAAUGAGCGCUGUGCCAAGCAGACAGAUGCGUUACUAGGCAGACCACAGCUGGUGAGAACAGGAGAGCGACAAUGAGGCAGCUUUAGUGAAAGGAGCAAAAAUCCUUGGCUUUGUUUUCACUACAAGGACAUCAUACUCUGUCACUAUAGGAGCUGUGAGUAGCACCCUGACUACUUGUCGCCACUUUACAUUGACCUGCUAUUCCAGAGAGUGACAGGUUUAUUUUACCCUGGGAGGAAAGUGGCUGCCUGGGCGACACUGCGGUCACUGACAACUGGGUGAUUCCUUUGCUCUGCAAAUGUCAUCAAUCCCGGCAACCUGUGAAAUGUGCUGGGAACCACUUCCCACGGUGACUUUGCAGGAAGGACACCGCACCAUCAGGGUCCACGUGUGCUUCCCCAACAUGUGAGCCAGCCCCACGGGACAGGUUCUUGGGCAGUGUCUGCCGUUCCUUAGCCCUCCCCCCAACCCCGUCCAGUCCCCACUGCAGCAGUGACACCCCGUACCCUGCACCUACACAUGUGAUCCUCUGGUCACUGACAGCUGUUUGGCAGAAAUGAUUCAGUCACUAUGUUCUGAAAUGUGUACCUGUCUUUCACUGUGUCUUCAGCUAUGGAAGACCCGUCGCCUUUACUGCUCUAAAGGCUGUGAACCGCAAUGAGG